CCCUGGCUCAGAGUGAACGCUGGCGGCAGGCCUAACACAUGCAAGUCGAGCGGCAGCGCAGCAGUAGCAAUACUGUGGGCGGCGAGCGGCGGACGGGUGAGGAAUACAUCGGAAUCUACCCAGUCGUGGGGGAUAACGUAGGGAAACUUACGCUAAUACCGCAUACGACCUGAGGGUGAAAGCAGGGGAUCGCAAGACCUUGCGCGAUUGGAUGAGCCGAUGUCCGAUUAGCUAGUUGGUGAGGUAAAGGCUCACCAAGGCGACGAUCGGUAGCUGGUCUGAGAGGAUGAUCAGCCACACUGGAACUGAGACACGGUCCAGACUCCUACGGGAGGCAGCAGUGGGGAAUAUUGGACAAUGGGCGCAAGCCUGAUCCAGCCAUGCCGCGUGUGUGAAGAAGGCCUUCGGGUUGUAAAGCACUUUUGUCCGGGAAGAAAAGCCAGGGAUUAAUACCCCCGGGUUCUGACGGUACCGGAAGAAUAAGCACCGGCUAAC
rnacentral:rRNA from 1 species